rnacentral:rRNA from 1 species
UACGGAGGAUCCGAGCGUUAUCCGGAUUUAUUGGGUUUAAAGGGUGCGUAGGCGGACUGGAAAGUCAGCGGUAAAAUCGAGAGGCUCAACCUCUUUCCGCCGUUGAAACUGUCGGUCUUGAGUGGGCGAGAAGUAUGCGGAAUGCGUGGUGUAGCGGUGAAAUGCAUAGAUAUCACGCAGAACUCCGAUUGCGAAGGCAGCAUACCGGCGCCCGACUGACGCUGAGGCACGAAAGCGUGGGUAUCGAACAGG